UACGAAGGGGGCGAGCGUUGUUCGGAUUUACUGGGCGUAAAGGGCGCGCAGGCGGUCUUGAAAGUCAGGCGUGAAAGCCCCGGGCUUAACCUGGGAAUUGCGCUUGAUACUCUGAGACUGGAGUACGGGAGAGGAGAGUGGAAUUCCCAGUGUAGAGGUGAAAUUCGUAGAUAGUUGGGAAGAACACCAGUGGCGAAGGCGGCUCUCUGGACCGUAACUGACGCUGAGGCGCGAAAGCGUGGGGAGCAACAGG
rnacentral:rRNA from 1 species